UACGGAGGGUGCGAACGUUGUUCGGAUUCACUGGGCUUAAAGGGCGCGUAGGCGGGCGGUCAAGUCAGGGGUGAAAUCUUUCGGCUCAACCGGAAAAGUGCCUUUGAUACUGGCCGUCUCGAGGGAGGUAGGGGCAUGCGGAACUUCCGGUGGAGCGGUGAAAUGCGUAGAUAUCGGAAGGAACGCCGGUGGCGAAAGCGGCGUGCUGGACCUCUUCUGACGCUGAGGCGCGAAAGCCAGGGGAGCAAAGCGGG
rnacentral:rRNA from 1 species